AGAUGGAGAAAGCACCAGAAAGACGAGGGUGAUGUAAUCGACGGAAACAGCCGAGUGCUCCUGUUCGGUGAAUUCCGGAGGAGGAAGAAGUACUGAGCGACACCAGCUGAUCAAAGUGCUCAACUAUCCAGUAAUGUCCCAAGAUCUGCAGAGUGGAUUGGCACAAAAUUUAGUCCAGACUUUCAUGGUUCCCGGAUAAUGUAUCCUCAUGACUUUGAUGACCCCCUGACUCUCCAUCUCGUGGCAGCAGCAAGGCUGACUGCUGCCUGCUGCUGUUGCUUUUCUCAUCACUCAUGUUGCUCAUUGGGUGAAAUCACCACAGCAAAACGUAGGCAGCCAAUCCAUGAUCAGAACACAUGAGACCAUCACAGGCUGGAUGUAUAUGUAAGAGACACA